UCCUCAGUAGCUCAGUGGUAGAGCGGUCGGCUGUUAACCGAUUGGUAACAUUUUAUUGUGGUUGCAGCUGAUGUUGCGGGGGAA
rnacentral:tRNA from 1 species